UUGUUUACGGAGGUAGUGCUUGGACCCUUGUUUAAUCAAAUAAACAGCUGUUUGAAAAUGUAGUUUGAAAAUGUUACACCAGAUGUCGGCACUGAUUAGACUUACGCUUAUACCUCUUGUAUACAAGAUUUUUACCACUUUUAG